UACGUAGGGAGCAAGCGUUGUCCGGAUUUAUUGGGCGUAAAGAGCUUGUAGGCGGUUUGUCGCGUCUGCCGUGAAAAUCCGGGGCUCAACCCCGGACUUGCGGUGGGUACGGGCAGACUAGAGUGUGGUAGGGGAGACUGGAAUUCCUGGUGUAGCGGUGAAAUGCGCAGAUAUCAGGAGGAACACCGAUGGCGAAGGCAGGUCUCUGGGCCACUACUGACGCUGAGAAGCGAAAGCGUGGGGAGCGAACAGG
rnacentral:rRNA from 1 species